AAGUCGAACGAAGUAGCAAUACUUAGUGGCAGACGGGUGAGUAACAUGUAGGUAUCUUCCCUAUGGUGAGGAAUAACACGAGGAAACUUGUGCUAAUACCUCAUAAGUCUUUACGGAGAAAGCUUUAUGCGCCAUUGGAUGAGCCUACACUUGAUUAGUUUGUUGGUGGGGUAAUGGCCUACCAAGACAAUGAUCAAUAGCUGAUUUGAGAGGAUGAUCAGCCACAUUGGGACUGAGACACGGCCCAAACUCCUACGGGAGGCAGCAGUAGGGAAUCUUGCACAAUGGGGGAAACCCUGAUGCAGCGAUGCCGCGUGAGUGAAGAAGGCCUUUGGGUUGUAAAGCUCUUUCGUCGGGGAAGAAAAUGACUGUACCCGAAUAAGAAGGUCCGGCUAACUUCGUGCCAGCAGCCGCGGUAAUACGAAGGGACCUAGCGUAGUUCGGAAUUACUGGGCUUAAAGAGUUCAUAGGUGGUUAAAAAAGUUGGUGGUGAAAUCCCCGAGCUUAACUCUGGAACUGCCAUCAAAACUUUUUAGCUAGAGUAUGAUAGAGGAAAGCAGAAUUUCUAGUGUAGAGGUGAAAUUCGUAGAUAUUAGAAAGAAUACCAAUUGCGAAGGCAGCUUUCUGGAUCAUUACUGACACUGAGGAACGAAAGCAUGGGUAGCGAAGAGGAUUAGAUACCCUCGUAGUCCAUGCCGUAAACGAUGUGUGUUAGACGUUGGAAAUUUAUUUUCAGUGUCGCAGCGAAAGCAAUAAACACACCGCCUGGGGAGUACGACCGCAAGGUUAAAACUCAAUGAAUUGACGGGGACCCGCACAAGUAG
rnacentral:rRNA from 1 species